GCGCCCGUAGCUCAGCUGAAUAGAGCGUGAGACUCCGAAUCUCAAGGCCAGGGGUUUAAGUCCCCUCGGGCGCACCA
rnacentral:tRNA from 1 species